UUACAACAUAUACAAACUGAGUAAUUUUGAAUUCCAGUUAAGUAAUUAGUCCAGGCUUUGGAGACGUAUUUGUAAAUGAUGGGCACCUCUUAGAUGAAAAUUCUUCAUAUGGCUAGCAGUUAAGAACUGGUGCUUGGACAGCUGACAGGUUAGCCAAAGGGGGUUUGCCCCAUCCUGCUUCAUGCCCUCUUCGCGACCAGGCAGAAGAAACUAUUCAACACACCCUUGUUAGUUGUGUGUUUGUGCAAUAGGUGUGGACAAUUAUUCUAAUUAGAUUGGGACUUCUAGCUAUUCCUCCUCAGCCAGGAGUGACCCAUUUCUCUAACUAGGUGCAAAGCAAACAAGGGGUUUGAUAAAAAGAUGAGAAAGGGGCUGAAUUCUUUGAUUAUCCUGGUCGCUUGGGAAAUCUGGAAGCAUCGCAAUGUUGCCAAUGUAUGUGUGUUUGAAGGAGCUUCUCCUAAUGUCCAAGAGGUUUUACAUGCAGUGACAAUCGAAGGUUUUUUAUGGUGUAUGUCUGGAACCUCUGCUCUUGAAGAACUGCUCCUUCAGUCGCUAAUCACAUAGCUAUGAGCUUCUGUGUGUUUCCUUGGCCCUGGUCAUGUAGUCCUUGUUCACAGUAAUUCUUGUACUGUUGGUGUUUGUGGUGUCCGGGAGCCUUUCUCCCCUGUAUUAGGAGUGGACUCUUGUCCCUCUGAUGUAAUUUUUUUCUUCUUAAUGUGACACGCUGUUCUCUUGCGUUGCUCGAGAAAAAAAAUAGUCCAGGCGUAAUAGUUGGAUUUUUUUUUUUGAAAUUGGCCUAAUAGUUGGAUUUGGGUUACAACAUACACAAACUGAGUAAAAUUGAAUUCCAGUUAAGUAAUUAGUCCAGGCCUCAUAUUUGGAUUUGAUUUGGGUUUAUCUUCAGAUAUCACAAUUAGAUGUGAAUAUACGAUUAGGUGCUGCACAAGCAUUAAUUAAACGGUUGAGAAAUAAUAGGUAGGACAUUAUUCUCUUUUUCCUGCUCUGAUUGACUUGUUUUUGCUCGAAAAGAAAAAUUGCCAAUUUGGUCUGGAUGUCAACUACACGUCAGCUCGAUUAGGCUCAGCGUGUUAACCUGGUAACUAAAUUACUUCUGAAUGAAAAGUAAGAUGAUCGAUGAUCACUAAUCAGAAUAUUCUGAAUUUGAGCAAUGCUCGUCCAAAAACUGUUAGCUUGAUAGCCACCCCUUAUACUCAAGCUAUCAACCACUAUUUAGUUCAUUUCACAUGUACAUCCCUUAGGUUUCACGAGAACAGUCUAAUUUUGCAACCUAACAUGAUUCUCACCAUUAUAUCUCAGGUUGGCAGUAUCAACCAUCAAUUCCAACAAUACAAUACUUUCUAGAGGAUGCACUGAUAUGCAUCACUAAGCUGGAUCGGAAGAAACUGUGCUUGGUUGGUGCAGGCAGGACUGAUACAGGUGUUCAUGCAUGGGGUCAGGUUUAAUAAACAUACUACAUAACUGUAAACUGAAGCUUAAAUUGAUAUCUAUCAUCUGGUUUGCGCAUCCUGCACUGUUAAAUGUCAAUGUUAUGUUUUAUAUGAAAUGCUGGGGGAUUAUACUUAUCCUAUUUGUUGUUUUCAGGUGGCACAUUUUACUACACCCUUCAGUUACUGUUGCCUCAAUAGUAUUCAUUCUGCAAUGAAUGGAUUACUUCCUCCAGAGAUUCGAGUCAGGGAAAUUAGCGCAGCACGUCCUGAAUUCCAUGCUCGCACAUCCACAAAGAGCAAAGUCUAUCGCUACAAGAUCUAUAAUGAAGCAAUCAUGGAUCCCUUUCAUAAUCGCUAUGCUUAUCAUAGUGCUUAUAAACUUAAUCCCCAUGCCAUGCAGGAGGCUGCAAAUUAUUUUGUUGGAACCCAUGACUUCACAUCCUUUGCUAAUGCUGCACAUAAUGAUCGUGAGCGCAGAUCCACAAAGAAGAUAACACGUUUUGAUGUUACUGAAAUGGUAAUUGAUUUCCAAACCAAAAUAAUAUGUUUUUGGUACUUCUGUUUUUUAGUGUGCUGUUCUUUUCAUAUUGGUGGGCUUCCAUUUGGUGUUGGUUGACAUGUUCUUUUUUGUUUGUAUACUCUACAGGGUGCUGUCCUACAGCUUGAGGUUGAAGGCACCGGUUUUCUGUACAGACAAGUGAGGAACAUGGUAAGUUCAACGUCAUGUGUAAAUGGCUAUUUCAAAUUUAGCUUCUUUCCGGUUUACAUAUUUAUACCUUGUUAUCAUUUUUGCGAGUCCUCCAUUGUCCUAAAUCAUAAUGUGUGCUCCCACAUUUAUUUAUCUUAGAUGCAUGGGAAAAACAAUACUGAACCCAUUUAUAGCAAACUUGUUUAUAUUUUUAUUUUCCCUACACGUAAUAGUUGAAAUUUGAAAUCAAUUAUGAAAUCGCCUUCAUACUUCUGCAUUAUUGUAGUCAUAAUGUAAGUGGAAAACUAGUUAUAUCUCCAUCUACUUCAAUGUUGGUCAAUAAGCCUUUAGCCUUUUGUAGGAAUGAAAAUUGGCUAUCAUACAUGGUCAACAUGUUUUGAAAAUUGGCACCCCAUUACUUUGAAGCUCUACUAGGAAGCUACAAGGAUUCAUGUUAUGGUGGUGGCUAGGGUUGAGAGGGAGAGAUGUGGGGGGCGGCCGCGGCCAAACAAGAGAGAAGGUUUCCUUCUAAUUCCUGUUUUUUCUAAUCAUCCUUAUUACAGGGAAACAAAUAGGCUCUCGGCCUCUAAACUUAGGAAAGAAACUCCUAGAAUUAAGGACUAGAUUGACCAUGUAACACUCCUAGACGCGUCCCUCCAUCAGACAUGGUCACACCUAUUUUUAGGCCUGGAUCAGCCAUGCAGCACCUCAGCCAGGCCCUUCAGUCAGAAGCUGUCAUUGUGUUGACUGGCCAUGCAACCUUCCUCAGCCACGCGCCCACGCCCUCCUUCAGAUGCCAUCCCCGCGGCCCAUGACAUACACCUCUAACACUUAUCGCGAGUCCAGCCAGCCCAGCCCAGCAGGCCUGCUAGGGUGACGACCUUAUGACAACCCUGCUCGACGAGUUCGCCACCAUCUUGCCGACUCGACCGGCAUGCUGCUGCCACGCUCUAGGGACCACUGCAUCAACCUGGUUCCGGGGUUAGCGCCGGUGGCUGUGCGCCCCUAUCGCUACCCCGCCUCCCACAAAGCAUAGUCCUUCGGUGUUUUCCUCGCUGGUCCUGCUGGUCAAGAAGGCCAAUGGCACAUGGCGUUUCUGCAUCGACUAACGCGCCCUCAAUGCCAUCACUGUCAAGGACGCGUUUCCCAUCCAGGUGGUCAACGAACUUCUCGAAGAGCUGAGCGGUGCCCGUUUCUUCACCAAGCUGGACCUCCGCUCUGGCACCACCAGGUCUGCAUGAACACCGCCAAUGUGGCCAAGAUAGCGACCUCUACAAGUUCCUGGUCAUGCCGUUCAGGUAGUGCAACGCCCUGGCCACCUUUCCAGGCGCUGCACAACCCGAAUGGAAUGACCAUGAACUCGUAGAGGCCGUCAUGUGUUCGACAUCGGUGGUGUUCAUGCGGACCUGGUGGCAGUUGGAGCGGAGGUCUAGUUUGGUGAAGAAAUGGGCACCGUGCAGCUCGUCGAGAAGUUCGUAGACCACCGGGAUGGGAAACACGUCCUUGACGGUGAUGGCAUUGAGGGCGCAGUAGUCGAUGCAAAACACCACGUGUCGUCAGCCUUCUUGACUAGCAGGACUGGCAAGGAAAACGCUGAAGUGCUGCGCCGGAUCAGCCCUUGGGACAACAUGGAGGAGCGUUGGCCGGCCAGGGGCCUUGCCGAUGACCGAGCAAGAGAGAUUCUGAUCAUCCUUAUUAAGGGAAAUAAAUAGGCUCUCAGCCUCUAAACUAAGAAACGCCUAGAUUGGCCAUGCAACACUCCCAGCUGCGUCCCUCCAUCACACGCGGUCACACCUAUUUUUAGGCCUGGAUCAGCCAUGCAGCACCUCAGCCGUGCCCUUUAAUCAGACACGGUCCUUGCGUGGACUGGACAUGCAGCCUUCCUCAGCCGUGCCCUCCUUCAGACGCGGUCCUCACAACGCAUGACAUAAGCCUCUAACAAUUCAAAUAUAGCCUGAACUUAGCAAAUUCUAGUUACUCCACCAGUGAGUAUAAUGGACAUCACAGUACUGGACGACAUGGCAGAAUAAAAAUGUGUGCAAUCUUUUUUUUAAAAAAAAGUUUGAGGGCUUCCACAUCUGUUAAAUUGUUUAUUUGCACCAAAUGCAAUAUUUAGUGCAUUCAGCGUUUCUGUUUGACACAAAUCAUCUCUACGAGAAGCUGUAAAACUUUUUUUUUUCACACCCACACCCAUGGAGUAUGAUGUAUUGUAUGAUGCAGGUUGCUUUGCUGCUUCAAGUCGGAAAGGAAGCACUGCCUCCUGAUAUCGUUCCAGCGAUCAUUGCGGUCAGGGACCGCAAAGAACUGGCGAAGGUGGCCUUGUCAGCGCCACCACAUGGAUUGUGUCUCAUGUCGGUUAACUAUGACGAGGAAAUCCUCAAGCCUCCUGAAGGUUCUCCUCCAGUUUCCUUUGGCAGAACUCACCAUCUUAGUAAAUGCAAACUUCCGUUUUAUUAAUUUGUUACAGAUGAAUUGUCUUCCAGAGAUCUAUCGUUUUUUUAGUUUCCCUUGCCUCCUAGAAUUUUCUUGCUUCACAACUGUCAAUUGUAGGCCCUUAUGGCCUGCUAGUUUUUGCGAAGGUAUUGAAAUACUUUCUUUAUACUCGCAUUGUAAAUUAUAAGUCAUUCUAACUUUCUUAGAGUCAAAGCAUGUUAAAUUUAACUAAAAUUAUAGAAAGGAUUAUAAAGAUUUAUGAUAUCAAAUAAGCAAUACUAAAAAUAUAAUUAAUAAAAAAUAUAACGAUACUUAUUUGAUAUCAUAAAUAUUAUUAUUUUAUUAUAUAAAUUUGGUUAAAUUUAAUAUGUUUUGACUCUCUAGGAAAGUUGAAUGACUAUAAUUUGAGAUGAGUGAGUACUAUACUACAGCCUGAAGCAAUUGUUUAUUCAGCCGAACGUGCCCCCUGAACUAGUUGCUCUCCCAUGCGUUGUCACGGAAACUGGAAAUAUUGAACGCAAUAAGUGGUGCAUGAAAGAACACAUAUAGGGUGUUUGGUUCGAGUAUAAUGAGGUAGUCUAUCAUUUACUUGCUCCUCAUUUGUUUUGUUUUGUUUGAGCAUCUUCAAAAGAUUAGCUAAAAAUAUUUUCCAUAUCUCUAAACUUAUCUAUUCUGUACAAUAAAACACCCACAAAAAAACUAGACUAAUCCAACAGCCUUUGUAAAAAAAAAAGUCCAUUCUUGCUAUUUAAAUCUGCCACAUGGGACAACCAUCUUUGGAGUCCAGAGCAGCACUGGCAAUGCACGUUUGUGCGGGGAAUGAUGCACCGUGUGGGAAAAGGUUGGAUAGCUAGCGACUCUCAUCGUCCAAAUCUGGCUACCGAAUUUCCAGGUAUAGACAGCGACAAAAUUUAGAGGGACGUUUACAUAAUCUGUUGGAGUUGUUUUUUUUUUGUCAAUAAUAGCUAUAUUUAGGCCGUGUUUAGUUUCUGACGCGAAAAAUUUCGUGACACUGUAGCACUUUCGUUUAUUUGCGAUAAUUAUUGUCCAACCAUGGACUAACUGGGUUCAAAAGAUUCGUCUCGUAAAUUUCGAACAAAUUGUGCAAUUAGUUUUUAUUUUCUUAUAUAUUUAAUACUCUAUGCAUGCGUCUAAAGAUUCGAUGUGACGGAGAAUCUUGAAAAAAAUUUUAUGUUUUGGUGUGGAAGUAAACAAGACCUUAGCUUUACAAAAUGUUUUAGCCAAUCUUUUGAAGAUGCUCUUAUUUCGUUAAAUUUGAAGAAUAGACUUAUGAUGUACCAUCUCGUGUAGGAUUGUUUGAUUUCUCAAAUAAAACAACCCUAUUAGUGUUUGAGAAUACUAGCAAAAUGUUGUUCGUAAUGGCUACAAUCAGUUAUAGUGAAAGGUUUUAUGUCUCAAUUUUAAUGACGAGACACUAAUAGAAACUGAAUAGUACUCCCUCUGUUCUGAAAGCUUCAACUCCUAGAAUCUGUGCCAGUCAAACUUGUUUAACUUUGAUCAACUUUAUAGAAAAGAGCAUCAAUAUCUAUGACAUAAAAUGAGAAUCUUAUGAAAAUAUAUUCGAUGAUAAAUCUAAUGAUAUUAAUUUGGUACUAUAAAUUUUAGCGUUAUUUUAUAAAUUUAGUUAAAGUUUUAAAAGUUUGACUUAAAACAACUCUAGAAAUUGCAACUUUAUGAAAUAGGCUCUCCCAACGCUGAAGGAAGUAGGGACUCGAGUGGGUGAGCCCCUCCAAAUAGACAGCUCUUCAGGAAUGAUCUCGUCAAGAUUAGAGUAGGCAUUACUAGCUGUCUUAGACAGUUAACAUAGCCAGCUUGUCCUUUGGCACGGAAAGUUAGAAUAGCUGCCUUGUCUUUUCAUGUCAUUAUUUUUCUUUCAUUCAAAUUAUAAAAAAAAGCUAAAAGAAAAAGGAUAGCGAAUGCUCGAUUCACCAAUUAUCCUUAAAAGGAGGGGAUAUUAUGAUAAUAGCGGCGGAUUCAAGAACUUAAUGAAAAAAAGACAUUCUUUCACUGGACCAUUUUACCUUGUAUAUAUGUUUGCCCCUUGGAUGAAUGCAAAACAGAAGUUCUACCAAUUCAUUAUUCUAUACAUUUCAUACUUUAACAAAAAAAGAACGGAGUUUGGGCUAGCAAACGAUGGACCUUCUGGGCUGCAUGUGUCUGCUUUUGGGGGCCCUAGAUAUUACGUGCAUGUACAGUUACGCAGGCCACACAUUAGGGAUGUGAGGCCAUGUGCCAAAAAAACACAGCUCCCGCACCAGCCCGGUAGACACUUUUAAAAUGUUUUUUUUUUCUCGAAUACAUAAAGAAUUUGCCGUAUCAUUGUAAUAAUUAAAAAAAAGUUUAAGCAUACAAAAGACGCGCUUCUAAUGAGCAUCCUAGGAAGUCUUACAGCUGAGGCUAGACCAUCCUAGUGUACUGUCUCGAACUUUUUUAAAUGGUUUUGGGAAGUUGCUCUGUUUUUGAAAUUUGAAAUUGAAUGAAGUGAACCUUCUAGUUUUUCUGCCGAUUGUAUUUUUUUUUAAAAAAAAUUCUAGACUAGACGAUCAAUAAGCAACGACAAUGUUGGAGAGCCAGCGACAACAAAGACCACAACUAUAACAACAAAGAAAGCAAGCUAGAAUGUUCAAUACUGCAACAACAACAACCUUCUAGUUUUUCUGGUGCGAAAGGAGAAAUUAUAUUAAGAAAUAGUAGCACAUUACAUCUCCAAUCUUACAUAAAACACCCUUGUAAAAUUAGAAAUUACACGCAACAUCCAAAAAACCUGAAUGCUUUUGUUAUCGUCGCUUGAACUUCGUCCAUCGGAAGCGUCUGCAAAAGAUGAAGCUAAGAUCCACCUUCUAGCCUCACAAGGGGCACCAAACCUUAGAUUUGUCGCAAGAGUGAGCACCUAGAAACUCCACCAAAAUGCAUCAAUGAUGCUAAACGAGCAUCAAUCGCCAACAUUUGAAGAAAAGAAGAGGAAGAGAGAUCCACCACCGCCGACUAUGAGACAGACAACCAUAAGAUUAUUUUAUCGUUGCCAAUAUUGUCGACAACACGAACAAGGGAUCCAAAAAAAAAAUGCCGAAAGCGCUCACACCUUCACAAAUACACAAUGGAAGGAAAGCCUUACUCUUCCUCCGGCGAUAGAGAUAGAGCACGCAAGAUGCCCCACAACAACCUAUGCUGAAGUCCUCCACGUGAUUGUCGGCGUUGAAGCGAAGGUAGCAAAUAAAACACUCAUGUAGCAUCACUGCCAUGGGUCGAUUGAACCCUAACCUACCUAAUAAAAACCUAGUAGCACCGGGUACGUGCAUCGACCAUCGAAAUUGAGGUCCUCCCACCCUCCAGCAUCCAAGAGGACACCAAAGGCAAGGCGGAGCUGCUGAUAUCGACGCUAGAAAGCAAGGACGGAUCGAGCACUGGGCCUAGGUAGGCUUGAGCCCCCUGCACCCACUGAUCGGAGAGGGGCUCCUAAGCUCAUUCUACAAAUUUAUAUUUAUUCAAGCUUGGAAGGAAAUGCUAAGGAUAAAAAGUUAUAAGAUAAGCUCCUCCUUGCUUACUUUUCUAGAUCCACCGCUACUAGAAAGUAACUCGCUCUCGUUUUGUCCUCUUCUACUGUAGUCUGUAGCAAGAGGAAAAUGAGUCGAGAAAAAAAGGAUUGAUCUACCGCAAGAUAAACAUCUCUUUGACAACCUUCUAGUUUUAAAACCAUUGUAUUAUUAAAACAAGUUUUUUAGAGCUUAAGAAACCCCAUUUGAGAAUUUUCUUUUCUAAGCUAUGGUUUUGCACAAUAUUUAUCUUGUAAACUAUACUUUCUUACAUCAUAGUUUUUUAAUACUGUAACUUGUAGGCUAUAUCUUGUAUUAAAAUAUUGUUUCACGUGGACUGCUCUGGCAAAUCCAGAACAUUGUUUCAACUGAUUGGGUUGCGACCAAAUGAAUUUUGAUUAUCCAAAUUAACUUUUAAGAUAGUCAUAUACUUAUUAAUUUUUAUAGACACUAUGUAUAAAAAUCAUAGUUUCAACGGAUAGUGUGUAUAAAAGAAUUCUUUAUCCAAUCACAUGUUUUUCUCUCUCUACAUUAGUUAGCAAUCACAUUCCUUCGUGUCUUGUUCUCGUGUAGGUUAUGAUUUUUGCUCUCUCUUUCUUCGAUAACUAUUUUACCACAUCAGCAAAUACUAAUUAAUAUUUAUAGAAAAUAUAAUAGUUUAUACAUUGGAAGUGCCCUUAUAACAAAUGGGUUACCCUAUAGAAAUCUCGACUGCCAACUUGGCUCAUUUUUCAAGAAUAACAAAACACAAGAUCUCCUUAGAAAAAAGAUAUUCAUACAAUAAAGUUAAUUAACUAAUCUUUCUUUGUAGAUAGUUAAUCACGACUCUGGUUGUACAGUAGUAAUAAUCGGUUAACCAAAACCCUGAAGGCUGCAGCUGCAAGUGUAGUUUGAUAAAACUCUGGAUCCGUGCACCCACUCCAGGCGUGUCCGGUCCUGUCAAUCCGUCAGUCGCAUUCGCCUUCGCGCUCGCCCCAGCUCAGUCCCUUCCCUCCAGAACCGAGAUCCACCACCGCGCACCUCCACGGCUCGGCCGGCGCUCCGUCACUCGCGAUGGCCGGCCGCCCGCGCCCGCAGACGGAGCUGCACUCGCCGUCCGCCUCCACUCGGCGGCGCGAGCGGUGGCUGGUCGUACUCGGCGUCGCUCUCCACGCCGUGUACAUGCUCAGCAUCUUCGACAUCUACUUCAAGUCCCCCAUCGUGCACGGCAUGGAUCCCGUGCCGCCCCGCCUCUCGGCGGCCCCCGCCAAGCGCCUCGUCCUCCUCGUCGGUGUGUCCCCUUGAUCCUCCGAUCCCGUCUCAUUAAGCUUCGGCUCGAUGUUGGGUGUGUAAUUUGGCUGGGGGGUUUUUGGUGCGUGCAGCGGACGGGCUCAGGGCGGACAAGUUCUUCGAGCCGGACGAGCGGGGUAGGUACAGAGCGCCGUUCCUGCGCGGCGUGAUUGAGGAGAAGGGCCGAUGGGGAGUCAGCCACGCCCGCCCGCCCACCGAGUCCAGGCCCGGCCAUGUCUCCCUCAUCGCUGGCUUCUACGAGGACCCCAGUGCUGUCACCAAAGGUGCGCUGCCCCGGUGCUAGUUCUAGUGUACCACUGCAGACUGUUCGUGAUUCAACUUGAUGCAAUGUUUUCACAAGCCAUUCAGUUUACUUUAAUUUUAAAGUAUGCUGCACUUUUAAUGUGUAAUUGCAUUGCUCUGCCAUUUUUAGUAGUUGUUGCUACUGAACUAGUAUUAGCGGUACUCGUACCCUCAUGGUUGUUAACCAAAAAACAUGUACUGAAUUAUAGUGCUUAGUGCUAGUAUUUUGUAGCUGAGAGAAAUGUGUAUAACUGACAUCCAGCACAUGGUUAAUAUUGCUUAGUUAAAGUAAACAAGUGCUAUACUAUGCCCUAUAGUAAAAUAAUGAGUAUUGUAUUUGGCAGGAUGGAAGGCCAAUCCAGUUGAGUUUGAUUCUGUAUUCAAUCAGAGUCGGCACACUAUCUCAUUUGGAAGUCCAGAUAUUGUUCCUAUAUUCUGCAGUAACCUAGCUCACAGUACCUGGGGCACUUAUCCCCAUGAAUAUGAAGACUUUGCAACAGGUCAGAUUUAUUGGCAGUACAUGUAGCUUCCUGAAGCUUAAGCCAUUAUUAUGAUAUUGUAUUUUUGUAACUGCCUUACCAGUACUGUCGUAUUCAUGGAAUCACAUUAUGCUUUUCUCAAUGGACUAGAUAACUUUGUGAUUUCUCGUACUGCACAUCCUUUCUUUCUGAAAUAUUGAUAUUAGUCUAAAAGUUCAUCUUGCAGAAGGAUUAUAUAUAUAAAUUAUCUUUGAAAUCAUUUUCUUACUCUUGGUCUGAGUUUUGUUUACCACAAACCACAACUGCUAUAAUGAAUUUUACAUAUGUGCAGGUUAAUUCGUAACUAAUAAAUCUGUUCUGAGACAAAUUGUAUAAAUACGUCUAUUUCCUCUUUAGAUACAUGAAGAAUGUGCCCUUCUUCAAAGAAAACAUUAUUGACUCAACAUCACAGAGUCUAAAUAAUCAAUCCUCUGCUUUUGCAAUUUAUUUUCCUUUUGGAAUCAUGUUUUUUACUUUGUCAGAGACCUUGAUUGCAGAUGCAUCAUUUCUGGAUCAUUGGUCAUUUGACCAGUUUCAAGGUCUUAUCAACAGGUCUUUUGACGAUGUUAAAUUGAGGCAGUUACUCCUACAAGAUAAGUUGGUUAUAUUUCUGCACUUGCUGGGUUGUGAUACCAAUGGCCAUGCGCACCGACCCUAUUCAAGCAUCUAUCUGAACAAUGUCAAGGUUGUUGAUCAAAUAGCUGAAAGUAUGUACAAUCUCAUGGAGAACUACUUCAAUGACAAUCAAACAGCAUAUGUGUUUACUGCAGAUCAUGGAAUGAGUGACAAAGGUAAGUUAUACACCAAAUGGUUUCACAAAUAUAUUUUUUGCUGCUCAUGUUUAUAUAGUUCAGGAUAUUGUAGGCAAUUGACUGGUUAUGUUUUUCUAGGAGAGAGUGGCAUCUCUGAUGUCACCACAGGAAACUGUAAACCUGAUGACUUCAAACAUUCAAAUUUUAAUUUGAAAGUUUGGAAUUAAAUUAGAUUUGAAUACUACCAUAUAGUAUAGUACCAUUCCCCAUACCUAUGUCUUCCCACCUUGACAACGACGAUCGUCAAUGAGGGAAAUGAGGGUUGCAGUGGGGUAUGAGGCCCCGUUGGUCUUCUUAGCCCGGGUGGAUGGAUGAGCUAGCACUUUGGUGUUCCAUCACAAAUCUUAGUACCAUGUAAUCACUAUAAGUACACUUCUGUAAGUCUGCCUGGCCUGAUUGUGUGUUCUCCACCUCUUUGGUAAUUCCUGGUAUCUUGCCUGUGGGCUGCCAAAGCCCUGUGAAACUCUUACCUCUUAAUGAAACACAUUCAUGGAUGUUCACAAAUCUUCCCACAUUAGCAAAAAUACAGAAAGGAAAAGAAGACUGUUCCACUGCAAAUCUAUGCAUAUAGAUGUGGAAAGUAUCCCCUCAGAGGCUGCCCAAAUUGAAUGGCUUAUUGGUUGCAGUAACUCAAUCUGGAUUGCACAAUGAGUUAGUUGCAUUGCCUACCUAUAAGGUUACACAUUUUAUGCUCCGUAGCGCCUAGGCAGCCACAUUCUUUGGUUGUAUUUGACAAAUCCAAUCCUGACAUGUAAUGCUUUCUACCAUACUAAAUUUAGUUGGACACUUGCACUUUAUGAUUUAUGCAAUGCUGUCUUGGGUCAAUCACAAGGAUGAGGGUCAUUGACCCAUUAGGCUAUUACUAGUUGCAAAGGCUUCAUUUUUAUUGAUUAAUUUUGUAGUAUAUUAGGUUAGUACUCAUAUUACUCCUUUAUUAUGAUGCCAAAAUGAUAAAGCACUGCUACCUACAGGAAGCCAUGGAGACGGACACCCUUCAAAUACAGAUACUCCUCUUGUAGCAUGGGGUGCUGGAAUUAGAAGCCCAAAGUUCCUGGCUUAUACAGAGAAACCUGAUGACGGCUUUCGGUUUGUAGAUGACCACAAACAUGAUACACCCACUCCAAAAGACUGGGCCCUUGAAGGUUUUGAAAGAGUAGAUGUCAACCAGGCUGACAUAGCUCCCCUAAUGGUGGCUUGAAAAUCUCCUUGUGCAACCAUAUAUUCAGUUCUUCAGUUGCAUUUAGUUUUCUCAAGUAAACCCUUUUUAUUUUCACAAUUCUUCACAACUUUUGCAGGCUACACUUGUGGGUUUGCCAUGCCCGAUGAAUUCUGUGGGGAGCUUACCUACUCCUUAUUUGAAACUAAGCAAGGUCAGACAAUAACUGUAUGCUACGCAAAAAAUAUAUUGUGCUUGGCUGAACACUGCUUGUUAAAGUUUGUUCCCUAUAUUUACACAGGCUGAUGAAGUUGAAGCUGUUCUGGCCAAUACAAAGCAAAUUCUUAACCAGUUUCUCCGAAAGUCACGUAUCCUUUCAAAACACAUUUUGCUACAUACUUGAACUUCAAAAUUUUCCUACUCCAUGCUUAUAAGCUUGUAGUGUGGUAGUGUGACUGGGUGCUAGAGGCAUCAUUGUUGAUCUAUUAUUGGAGUCACCCAUUACAGUAGGCUACUCCAUGCUAUGAGCUAUGAAUCUCAUCAUGUCAUUCAAUUUCCUUUUUUUUUCCUAAUGCAAAUUUAUGACGACCAAGACUACCAAAUUAAACAAUAAAUCAUACUGUUACUCCCAAGCAUGUCUUCCCUUAUCGAUCUCAGAGCUGAAGGAAUCCAGUUCACUCUACUUCAAACCUUUUAAACCACUGGCAAACUUUUCUUUAGUGCUCAGUCAGAUUGAGGAUCUUAUAUCUGGAAGGGACUAUGAAACUGCCAUGGAGCAAUCUGAGGAGCUCCGAAGGCUGGCUCUUGCUGGUCUUCAUUAUUUCCAAACAUAUGAUUGGUUCAUGUUAAUGACUACAAUUACCCUUGGAUAUAUUGGAUGGAUGGUGAACCUCAUUAUACAUGUGUUACAGUCUUAUACAUCAUUUCCUGCAAUUCUUCUCAAGAGGGCUCAAUUGUAUCCUAAGAAUACCUCCAUGAAAGUAUGGUAGCUUUCCACUCUCUCCGUAUUAAAUUUAUGUCUAUUUUUUUAUGUGUUACAAAAUCAUAUUCUUCUGUUUCCGUUUUACUCAAUCUAGAUUGCAGCGAAUAUGUUUUUUUGUUCAAACUCAUUAUGUUUUCCUGUUUCCAUUUUUCCCAGUUUCUCUUUUCCCUUUGCAGAACUGAUACUGUAUAAUUCAAAGGCUUGGUUCUGCAUAUAGAGUGUAGAUUGGAUAGAAUUACUGCUGCAUACUAUUCAUUUUUGUGCAAUCAAAGUUGCUCAUCAAAAUUUGACAACUACUCGAUUAAUUUCAUGCUGAUCUGCAUGGUCACAUAGUUAAGACAAUUUGAUUUUAUCUCCUCUGGUUGCAGGUUUACAUUGGUGGAUGCUUCUUUAUGGGUUUGUCAUCCAUUAUACUACUUCUAGAGAAAUCACCACUUCUUUACCAUGCUUAUGUAUUUAUGACAAUAUUCCUUUGGACAAGAAUUGUACAAAACUUUGAAUUUUUGAAGGCCGUAUGGAGAGAAAUAGCUAAUAUGCCCUUCAAGUACAUUCUUAAUCUCCUGACAAGUUCAGUUGUUGCACUGCUUGUAUUGGAGUUUCUGGUAUGUACCCACUUGUUGACACAUCAAUCAUUUUAAGACUCCAUGAGAUUUGAUGUGAAAUUUGAUACUUGUGGGCAGGUUAUGAGCUUCUUUGAUAGGAAAAUUUACACUUGGUGCUUCUUGGUCCUCGGGAUACUCGGUUCAACUUAUGUAGCUUUGUUUAUUCAAGCUAGCCCUGCACUUGCGAUAUACAUAUGGCUUGCUUGCUGGUUCCUGUCCGUAUUCACUUUGAUGCCAGCUGAAAUUCCAGAAAACAACAACUUGGUGUAUGUUUCUUUCGCUGACAGUAUUCAUGCAUUUUUCCCCUUACAAUAAUUAAGAACAAGCUGUUACAUAUAUAUAGUAAUAUUGUUUAAUGCUGUUACGUGUCAUUCAUUCUUAAGAAGCAGCUAGCCAUCUAGAUGCUAUCAAAUAUUGUCUAAUUGGUUGUUUCCUUGCAGCUUUUAGUCUGAUGAAUUCUUUAUAUGCAGAAUAUUUAGUGGAGGGCUCAUAAUACUUAUUGGAUUAGCUUCAAGAUGGAUUAAAUCGAAUACUUCCAGCUUUUGGCUAUAUCUCACUCGAGCAAAUAAACGGGAUCCUCAAUCCUUUAAACUGUACUUUGUUCAGGUGCAGAACUCAAAUAGUUAUAUCCUGUGGUUGGCAUUUAUUUCUUGGAAGUUCAAGUUUGAGACAUUGUUUUCAACCGUUUAUCAUGUUUUAGGUUAUUUUAGUUGCAAUAUCUUCGAUAAUGGUGUGGCUAUCUACCUCACAUCGGUCCCAGAACAGAGAAUUGCACUCACUGCACCAGUUGAUCAAUUGGUCCGUAGCUGGUAAGUCACUCGAUUUGUUAUUUGUGCUGUUUGUCUACAGUGUCAUUGGAUCCUCUCUUUCAAUUUUAUGGUGAUGUCUGAUUUGUUUAUACACCGUGUAUUCUACUAUAAAGCAACAACCUAUGAGUCUAAACCCUACAGGCCUACACACAACUAGCUUUUGUAUGUAGUAUGUCUACAUACACAUGCUUAUCUUUGCACCAAUCUAAGGGUCUGGUGAAGCUUACUUGUCUUAUGUUUUGGUUCUUGACCUGUUUUUGGUUUUAACACUUCUUGUGUUGUCUUGUUCACAAAUAAAUCUUGUCCAAGUGGGUUUUACAGACCCACUGGGCCAGAAGCUACUCAAGCCCAGACAUUUACUUUUCUACUUAGAGGCCUCUGCGUCUUGGAACAAAUGUAGGGUCUGCCCAAGGACUCAUGGGCUUAGGUAAAUAUUUAAUGCAUUCCCCAAGGAGAGAGGUUAUUUUUUGGAGGGAAACUAUGUGUUUUGCGACUUUGUGCUCCGUGGUUAGGACCUCUAAGGAGCACCAAUGGUUGGACUUGAGUGGCAAGAAUGACGAUGGGUCUUAUUUGGCAAUUUUUGAACUGCGGGCUUGAUUUAAUCCUUUGUUUGGGCAUAAAAAACUCACAGUAUUGAGUAAUAGCUCUUUCAAAAAGCAAUAUUGAGUGGUAGUAAAUAAAAUGAAUAAAAAAUAUUUAAGGUCCUUGAAAUGCUUUUCUUAUAUUCUUGAUGGAUCAUUCCCUUGUCAUCCUUGUGUACAUUUGUAGAUGGAGCUCUGGUUCUUUGCCUUUUGUUCUAUAAUGAAAUAUGUUGAUAAAGGUUGGUUACAGUACUCAAUACUGAUAACCAGAUUUUCUAAAACCAGCUCGGCUUCCACACAGCCAUUUUUCUGAAACCUUCUGAAUACUAUCAAUGGCCUGUAAAGUUAGUUGGCAUUAUUGUAAUAAAUAAAUGUAUCCUCCACUGAAUUAUGAAAAGGAUAGAAAAUAAUAAUUUUCCUAUCCUACAAUUCAUAGCCUCUUUUUUGUUACUGUUUUUUUAAUGGAAACAUAAAGUGAGCUGUACUGGCACACAUUCAGAGAAAUAACGAUGACGUGCGGUGGGCUCUGUCGGGUGUCCUUUAUGUGUAUGUGGGUUGCCAGGGUUUGUUGCCUGGGCUGUCGUGGUGAGUUUUUUUUUGCCAGUUUUCCUUCCAAGUCCUUUCUACUUAAUUGAAAGGCAGAGCUCCUGCCAUUGCGUUCAGAGAAAUAACAGUGCAGAGAAAAGAUGCAAAAUGGAAAAUUGGCCUGCUUCUGGCCUCUGGGGAAUAACUGUAAGCCUGUAACCCCAGGUGGAAACAUUCUAAACUUUAACAGGUCUACAUCAUUUUGGGGCUUUGUCCAUUGGAAAUCUUGUUGAGCCCUUUAAAUAUGACACAUUCUUUUUGAAGUCAAGCUCAAGCCUAGUGUUCAUCCUGUUUGAUUGUUCAUCCUGAACUUGUGUGCUUUUUGGUUCUACUGUUUUAAUGUGUCAUAUAUUUGGCAGGUGUUGCUAUGGUGCUACCUCUUUUCUCACCACCUAGUGUUCUAUCCCGUCUUACAUCUAUAUUCUUGGGUUUUGCUCCUCCAUUUCUGCUGCUUUCCAUUGGGUAUGAUGUUACCUUCUGCUGUAGUUUAUACAUCAAUUUCUUUUUGCUGUGCCUGAGCUCUUAACAUGAAAAUGACUGUUCAAAUUUUGUUAAAUCUUCACAGCUAUGAAGCAGUUUUCUAUAGUGCUUUUGCAAUGGUACUCAUUGGAUGGAUAUUUGUGGAAUCUGCCAACCUGUAUUGCUCAGAAGAAAGUGGUUCUGCACGUCGCAGAAGCAUUGCAGAUGACUCAGUUUUUGGCUAUGAAGAAAGACACUUACGACUAUCCGAUUUAAGAAUCCCUCUGUUAUUUGUAAGUCUAAUAAUUUCCAUUUGUCUUAUGGACUAUAGAGGUGCGGAAGCUCUUGGAUACGAUGCUUUAUUUUUAUAUUGCGGAGUAGGCAUUAGAUUGUGCUCAUUCACUCUAGAUAAUCCUCUAGGAUUAAUUAUGCAAAGGUGCUAAAUCAUUUGAAAUAGGGAUGGCCAAUGGAAGCUACUCCCUCUAUUCUGAUUUCGGAAGAAGUUUUGUAGAAUAUGUGAAGUCAGACUCAGAAUUUUAUGCACAAACCUAUUUAGUUUCACAAGUAAAUGAUAUUAUUAUGUUUAUAACAAAAAAAAAAUGCUUCCUGCUUCCAUAAUUCCAUAUGGUUAUACAUUCAAUAAUUUUGGAUAACAUGUAACAAGAAACUACGAUCAUUGCAUGUAUUGGAGACUCUUCCCGUGCUGCCAAUUUUUUCUGUUUUUUUACAUGAAAUACAGCAGGGGAGGCCCCCACUGUAAAACAAUCAACCCAAUUUUUUCUGUUCAGAAUGUAUUGCUAUCUUCAUACUUGCAUUAUAUUCCAUAUUUCCACUAUAUGCAUAUAUGUAUUUUGUUUGUAAACAUCCAAUCAUUUAUUAUCAAUAGAAACUAAGAGCACUUUUGUUGUAGUUUUAGUAGAAAACAUAUAGUGUAACUAAUGGUAUCUUUCUGUCUUGCAGGUGAUCUUAUUUAAUGUUGCCUUCUUUGGUACUGGUAAUUUUGCAAGUAUUGCAAGCUUUGAGAUCUCGUCUGUGUACAGAUUCAUUACAGUAUUUAGUGUAAGUUUAUGUUGCAUUUCUCUGAAUGACCUUUUUACUUAUUAUUAUUCUAGACACUAAUGUUUUUCUCUUUUCUCUUGGCAGCCAUUUCUUAUGGCAGGACUUCUUAUCUUUAAGUUGUUCAUUCCGUUCAUGCUCGUCAUGUAGGUUUUUCUUUAACCUUGCUAACCUUAUGCUAUGUGAUGUCAUGAAGUUAGAAAUUCUUGUCACAAAUUAGGUCAUCUUCUGCUAUAGUAGGAAGAUAAAAAGAGGCAGCAAUCCAUUUAUAAUUUAAUGUUGAUUUUGAUAUCUAUAUAGACUAUCUAUAUACUCUCUGCAUAGUUAUCUGUUGAGCAACUUUAAGAUUAAUCUGGGAGUUCCUGCUUAGGGUAACAAACGAUAACAAAUAAAUGUAAAGAAGAUGUGGUUUUCCCCCAAACGUUAGGUCUUUGGAGUUUGGACAUUUUUCUAUAACACCUUAGCUUAAUUAAGUAUUCUUUUAAUUUGCGAUGAACUUGAUGCCACUUUUCAUUAAGCUGACAUUGGUGACAACUGCAGAUGCACGUUUAGUGCGAUUACCAAAGUUGUCCGCAUCCCACGGCUGGGCUGCUAUUUCCUUGUAAUACUACUUUCAGAUGUGAUGACUAUUCAUUUCUUUUUCCUGGUAUGUACACCUUUUCCCUUCUAUAAUUCAAUAACCUAAUUUCAUGCAUUUUAUAUUUAAGAAAAAAAGACAUGAUCCAUGGCCUUGACCAUAUUUAGUAGCUAUGUAAUGUUCUUUCAAUUUUGUCCAUUAGUGGGUAAAUUUUGUUUGGUUUGCCAUGUCCUGGACGCGCCAUAGUUUGAUAUAUGCUAACAGAGUAAAGUAGCAAACUAGCUGUGGACUUCUGUCCAGAAGCUCAAAGGCUCUCUGUGACCAUUGGAAAAUUUGAAGCUGUAACUGCACCAAUUGUAUUGUAUUUCAUUUUCUGAUGACUACAUUAGCCUUAUGUAUUCGAUGUGGACUUCCUACUUCGACAAAAUAAUGUAAUGAGUAUUCCUGUUCAUUUUACCCACAGGUACGGAAUACCGGUAGUUGGAUGGAGAUUGGCAACAGCAUUAGCCAUUUCGGAAUAGUGAGCGCCCAAGUAGUCUUCGUUUUGCUGCUUUUUGCACUCACAAAUAUAUACACAAGAGAUAUUUUGGUCUCGUCUCGGCAACUAACUGCGCGGAAAGUUAUGUAAAUUGUUCAGUUUAUUUGGAGAUCAAAAUACAUUCAUCUUUUCCUUUAUUCAUUUCUGGGCCGGCCUUCUUUUUUGGCCCAAGUUUUGUAGCUUAGCUAUUGGCCGAAGUUUUGUAGCUUAGAUUUUGUAGUUUGUAGAUGGAAUUUUGUGUCAAAUUUUUGUGCUAGUUUCCUUUGCAUACCUACAGCCUGAACAGAUUUUACGUACAUCAUUAUAACUAUGUUAGUUCUUUUAGGGAGGUUAACUUGUUGAGUGAUUAUUACGCGAGGCAACAAAAUCUCAGGGUUGAAAUUGAUGAAGCAAUCACUCGAGCUUAAAAUUACACUCUGCACGCUCAACCAGCAUCACAAAGUCUGAUACGCAGCUAUACAGAGCUGUCACCACGGUGGAAAUCGGCGAUGGUGAGGAGACCUCUUUUUGGUACGACGCCUGGCAUAAUGAUGACGCCAAUGGCAGAUCGGUUUCCAGCCCUGCACAGCCAUUGUAAGAAGAAUAGUACGGUGGCGCAGGUCUCUUUGCUUUUGGAGUGCAGGAUACCCAGUUUGUGGUGCCACGACUCACCUCAGGGCUCAGGCGACUUCGGAAAUAACGGAGCUGGGCAGCAUCACUCAGUCUACUGCCCUCUCGGUCACCAGGGGACCGGCGCGGCGCCGUGGCCCCUUCUGGCCUACCGGCAAGGAAAGUUUGAAGGCAAAGUAUAGAGAAAAGCCACGUCCCUCCCCGGGUUCAGUUCUUUCUUUGGCUGCUGACACAGGAAAGGGUGCAAUGUAUGCAGGGUCAAUCUCCAUCUCUAAAGAUGAUCGUGGAUAGUCCCGACUUGCUGUUGCUGGGUGCCUUUCUGCUGAACUUUUCCGGUCCAAACUUGGGGAUCAGCAUGCCAACGGACACUAUCUACAACCGUCGCUUGAUCUUUAGGUACUUUGGUCGUCUGUUCCCCUUUGCUGUUGGCAACUAUGGCAGCGAAAGGAACGGCGUAAUCUUCAGAGAUGUUGCGGCUAACCUCCCUCAGACGCACCAUGGUAGGAGUUUGCAACGCUGAAGCAAAAGCUCUGGGCACAACGAUUGCCGAAGCGGGACAUGGGCAUAGGAGACGCUUGGUGUGCUAUAUAUGUUUUACUUCAGCAAUGUAGUAAUUCCGAUCAUCGUCUAUACAUCGCAGAUGUAAUGUUUAUCAGCUACUACUGAUAGGUUUUCUUCAACCAAGAUCAGUGAAAGAAUGACCGGUGGGCCGGGGGGGUUCACUAUGCCAGCCACAGCUGAUAGGGCCCCCGAUCAGGAUCCCAACGGCUUAUUAGUCCAGCAACCAUGCGGUCCGCCCGUUCGUUAUCAUCCAUCUCCCACCACACCCUCGCGUUAUCCAGCACCCACGCCCUCCCCCUCCGCCACGUCACGCCGCCCGGCCACGUGGCACCGCCCCAGUGGCGGCUCACCCCGACUCGGGAUAAGGCUCCCCUCUCCGUUCCGGACCGCAGCUUAAUAACCAACCAACCAUGCGGUGCAGGCAGGCCCGCCGCCAAAAGCUCCCCCGCCCACAAAGCGCGAGCAAUCCACGUCCACGCGCAGCACCACCAGUCCACCACCGUCACCACCAAGCUGGUAGCGCAAAGGCGAUGGCGUCGCUCACCAUGAUGGCGUCCUUCGCCGCCGUGGCGGUGGCCGCGCCCUCGCGCCGCGGCAGCUUCGCCGUGGUCAGGGCCGCCAACAAGGCCGACCACCGCUGCCACCAGCAGGAGGAGCCCGCCAGCGCCAGGCUGGCGGCGGCGGCGGCGGCCGAGGAGCCCGCCGAGGGACGCCGCGCCGUCAUGCUCGCGGCGGCCGCGGCGGCCGUGGCGGCCAUCGGCGGCGCCGGCGCCGCCAUGGCGGACCCCAAGAAAGGGAGCCCCGAGGCGAAGAAGAAGUACGCGCCCAUCUGCGUCACCAUGCCCACCGCCAAGAUCUGCCACAACUGAUCGAGCACGCGCGCGCGCGUUGCAGGGCCGGCCGGGGGGGUGGUAUAUAAAUGUGUGUAUGUGUACGGUGUCGAUCGUACGUCUCUCUUGUUGAUUCGAGCUUUAAUUUAGAUGCAUGCCUGACGACGUGAGGCCGCUUAUUGCUUUGCUGGCGGUCUCGGAGCUGUAAGAAUAUAUCAAGUGCAAUGCAAAUUGAAUUCGGGUGAAUUGAAACCGUGCUUAUAUAUUUUAUCGUAAUAUAAUUUCGUCCAUGCAUGCGUAUAUAUGUGAUCACGUACAUCAGCUAUAUAAUGCGUACUAUGUGCUUAUUUUACCAAUUAAGAUUCAGAUUACCAGAUGAAAAUCUCGCAAAGCGUUGCUGUGAGGGAGACGAGAGCACGAGGUUACUUUUCGUUAUACUCGGCCUGGUCCCAAGUUAAUUAGAUGUACACUGUCUCUUUUAUGGAGAUCAGUUGGCCUCAAAGAAGCCCACCCAAAAAUCCAAAUCGACGAACCGCCUAAGCCCACAUCAGACCCACCGUACCUUGACUAGUGCAUAUUUGGUGAAUGGUCCAUAGUGACUCCCAGAUGAUCCACCAAAUGUGAGGUGUCACAUUCACCGCCCUAGCCCUACCCUCACACAACCAGCACUAGCCCUUCUCCCUUCAUUCUCACUCGCUCUCCCAAAACAACAUAAUAGAGAAAGACAAGAGAGCAAGAAGAUAGUCGCACUAUUAAGAAGGGUACUCUAAGCCUAAGCACCAGAGCUUAGGCUCCAGAGGAGGACACGUGGUGGCAAUCAACGUUGAAGUUUGAAAGGAGAAGCCCUUACUCCGGUGACCCAAUAUGGGGGACACCAAAGUAUACCGGUGGUGUCAAAAACCUUGUGUAGAAACCCAUCGGAUUUCUAUGGUGGUACCCUUGAGUGUCACUGGAGGAAACGACCAACAGAGUUUGUGCACAACGCAUCUUGGCUGCAAGCAACAGUUAGAUUGCCACUUGUCUCAGUGGAGUGCCAGAGAAUGCAUUAGUCCACCUAGUGAUCAUCUAAAUAUAGUUGUUCGAUCUGACAUCGGGGCCAAGCUUGAGGGCUUGUUUAGCUUGCAAAGGAGCGUCAAUCCUUAGACUCACCUCAAAUGGGACGUAUGUUGCCAGCAAGUAACUGAACCUGCUUGGGGAAAAAUAAUUAUCUCCAUUGUCCCCUUUGGUUUGCUUACACCUGCUCUUUUACUUGUGCAAUCCUUGCUUGUAUUGAUGUUUAGCUAGCUUGCAUGUUAGCCUUGGUUGUUAUUGUUGCUAGCUUGUUCUAGUAGCUGUUAUUAGUUCAAGUCGAGUAGCUUGGUUGCUCUACCUUGUUUGACGUGUAGUUCUUGGAAGUAGCCAAGUAGCUCUCUAGCUAGUCCUUGCUCAAGUAGCUGUUUAGCUCGUCCAUGUGCUCUUUGCUAGUAGUUACUAGUUCUUGGUGUGUUUCUUUGGCCCUUUGUUAACUAGACUUGUGUAGGAGCUCUUGCAUUGGUUCUAGGUUGGGCGCAUAAUGCUUAUUAAGGAUUAUAUUUGUAACUAAUAGUGUGCCUAUUUUUUUGCCUUUGAAUGAAACUUUUAUAGGCUAUUCGCCGCUCCCAAUCCUAAGGUCCUUUCAAUAGUGAGGGCAUAUAUGAGGACCCAACAUAGCCUUACAAGUUUAAAGGGCACAACCUCACAAGUUCAAAGGGCCCUGCCUUACAUCUAGCCUAUUUAGAUGGCAUAUAUACCUAACUUAGCUAUUACAAACCAAAAGAUAGCUUAUUACAUCUCUUGCAUCUUGGAGGUUUUUUUAGCUUCAUAGCUAGUGGCUCCUUUUCCACCACCAAUUUAUGAUGCUGAAUAACUACGUACUCAUGGUCCUCAACAGGUCUAUCUCGAGCAAUUUUUAAGCCAAGAUAAGAGUGCUUAGGAGUGAUCUUUGUAAAUCUUUAGGCGUGGUCAUUGGAAAUAUUAGGAAAUCUAAAGUUGUGGUCAUUGGAAAAAUAGGCAGUGCAGUCUGAUGACCCUGGUGAGGCAUGGUGCAUGUGUUGUCUCGAGUUAACUUAAUUUCUCAGCAAUUUUUUCCAACUGCUAGACCUCACCCACGGUGCACAUGUGCGUGUGUCUUAUAGCUCAUUUGGAGCUCUCUCCGAUCAUAGGUAGUUGCACACAUAUUGCAAGGCUUAGAGAAGGGUUUAAGGGCAGUUCAAGCCAAGAUAGGGGUGCUUAGGAGUGAUCUUAGUAUGCAUAGAAAUGUUAUUGGCUUGGAUGUUGAUCCCAAGCGAAGAUCAAUACUUAUUACUAUUGGAGUUUGCUAGCUCCUAGAUGGGCGUGAGGACUAUGUCACCUUCCUAGAAGAGUUGGUUAUCAUAAGGCUCCUAGCUAGCUUUGUGCUUGGCUUGAGACCUAUACCAAUCUAGAGUGGAGAAUAAUUAAUGGGUACUCCUAGUGGAUCUUGAGCCUUGGUGACUCAAGAGAGCUCAGCCGGUGCUCCAACCUAGACUAGAGGGUAGUGGCAACUACUCGAUAUCAUAUAAAAUAGAAACCUAGUUGUCUCUUAUCCACUUUUCUUUCAUGAGCGCUAAUUUCAUUGCUUAACAAUUAUUAUCAUGUUAUGUGCUUGAGAUAUAUAUUGUGUGAAGCUUCUAUUAGAUUUGUUUUUUUUCUUUGUAUGACGACUAUAGCUAGGUUUCACUUGAGCAAUUUUGUAUGAAAUCUAUCUUUGCAUGUGUAGUCCAACUAAGGACAUGACUUAGUGUGAUGGCUUUAAGUACUCACCUUAGUUUGCUGUUAUAGUAUAGUUUUAAGACCGGCUCUUUCUUAGUGGUGAGUAAGUUUUAAUAAUAGGAUAAGAUUUGUUGUUUUAAUUCUGUAGAGCUUCAAUGUACGGCUAUUCGAUCUUUAGGUCUUCCUAGAAGCUGCAUGAUGAGCCAUUUCUCAAUGGUGUAGCUAGGCGAAGUUGUUUAGAAAUUUUCGAGGUGCAAGACUAAGGCCUUGUUUAGAUAAAUCCAAAAUUCCAAAAGUUUACAAGAUUUCCCAUGACAUCGAAUCUUUGGUCGUAUGCAUAGAACAUUAAAUAUAAAUAAAAAAUAACUAAUUGCACAAUUUAUUUGUAAAUCGUGAGACGAAUUUUUUGAGCCUAGUUAGUCCAUGGUUGGACGAUGUUUGUCAAAUAUAUAAAGAAAGUGCUACAAUAUCAAACUUCAAAAAAAAAAAUCUAAACAAGGCCUAAAUAUUGCCUGAUCAGGCGACACGUUGGGCUUCACGAUCGAAUACUUUACUCUCUAGUCACCAAUAAGUGGCGCUCGCCUAACAAUGCAGCCGAAACGAACAUAUAUAUAUAUUCUUCCAGCUAAGCCUUCAAAGUCGCGAGAACAACUGAAAUUUAGAAUGGUUUGGCAAAGUUAGAAAAGCGAGCAUUACUACAAGUUGUCAUGGACUUCCAACAACGCCGGACAAAAAUGUACCUUCUUGCCUGCUUCCUUUGUGCCGCCGCCGCUUCUCUUAGCUUCUUCAUCUUCAAGACUAAGCACUCUGGCUUUCUCGAGAACAAUCUUUCUAGGGCAUUCUCCAGUACCAUUUAAAUCAUUAGAUGCAUGUGUACGUAUAUGCAACUUUUCAAUACCUUUCCUUUCAAAAAAGAAAAAGCCUUUCAUUGCCUUUACGCAUAAUAACGACAGAUGACUGUCUAAUACAUCAUCAUUAUAUAUAUUUUUGAACGAAUUAAAGACCGUGCUUGUUUUUAUUUGAUAUAGAAGAAAUAUAAGAGCAAGUAAGUAACCCUGAGAUGCUACAGAUAUAUAUAUAUAUAUAUAUAUAUAUAUAUAUAUAUAUAUAUAUAUAUAUAUAUAUAUAUAUAUAUAUAUAUAUAUAUAUAUAUAUAUAUAUAUAUAUAUAUAUAUAUAUAUAUAUAUAUAUAUAUAUAUAUACUUGAGCAAGUGCAUCAGAGACUCUGGACAGGCAGAGACGACCAAUGCAACAAACUCGAUGCUAAUUAAUGCUAUUGCAAACUCUAACAGGAUCCCCUCCAAUUCUAAUCGUGCGCAUCGCAUAUACAUAUCGAUCAUUGCCGGCCGGGGCUCGCAUGGUCUGAUAUGGUGGACAUGCAUGCAUGGCCGGCAGGCGUGUGCGCGCUGAACCCUAGCCGGCGUCGGCAUGCUGCGGUGCUGCCUGCCGUCUGCACUCCGCAAGUAUUUUUCUUUUAUUUGAUAAUUAUUGUCUAAUCAUGGAUUAAGUAGGCUCAAAAAAUUCGUCUCGCAAACUACUCUCUAUCCAUGUUUUUAGUUUUGUAAAUAGACUCUCUAACUAUAGUUUUUAGUUUUGUAAGUAGUCUAUAUUUAAUACUUCAUGCAUAUAUCAAAUAUUCGACCUGAGCGUGCCUCGAGCGAUUUGACAAAGAUGCAUGCACACAUCUAGGCGACUAGGCGCGACUGGGCAGGCCAAUCAUUUAUCUCGCUUUAUGUGAUGCCAAUGCCAUAUGCAGAUCGACUGCAUGCAACAGAUACAGAGCCACUGCCAUGCAUCCAGCACGUUCUGGCCAUUACGACUUGCAUGCCCUGGCCUUGCCGUAGCGCUAGCUAGCCUUUAAUUUGUAGAGAGGAUCGGAGGUGCAUGCAGACCAGAUCACCGACCAUACUUAGGGGUUAAGGAUGCAUGUGUACAUGUAUAUGAUAUAUGUAUACAUACAUAUACAAUGCAUGCAUCUGUUUACUGAUCUUUGAUCUUAAACCCCUCUAGCUGUCACUACUGAAUUUAUUUAGUUAUUAACAUUAAAUGUCAUCAGAGAGAAAGUAGCAGAACAAAAAGGGAUGAUGCGACCAAACUGAAAAACAGAUAUGUACAUGCUUGGGACGAUGUAUUCUUCGUCAGCAGAGAGAGAGAGAGAUUAGAAAAGUUGGCCCAUAUUGUAUUGUUUCUUCAUCAGCAUAUAGAAAGAUUAGGAAAAAGCUGGCCCAUUAUUGUAUUGUCAAUUAGUUUAUCUAUAUGCUGAUUACAUAGAGUCUUUGGCCUUCUUCCUGGUGGUUUCGUGGCCGAACUAAAGGUAGAAGAGGACUACUGUUCUUUUGGCCCAACUUCUCGUUGCAGCCCCCAACCUGCAGCUGUACAAUCGCCAGCUGCUUUUGAGGCAGAAUAAAAAUAGCGAGACCACUCUACUGUACUGUGUACGUAUUAAGCUAGCGCCGCCGCCGCGACCUCGAUCUAUUACUAACUGAAGUUGUUAUAGUAUUUUUAUUAGUUAAUUUAAUUUAGAUGGGCGAUCACCCCAAAAAAAAUAAAUUUGGAUACCUCCCUCCCUAAUUAUUUAAUUUAAUUUCUGAUAAUUACUACUCCCUAAUAAUUUUAGAUACAUAGCUUUACUUUACGUAUCUAGACUAUUCUUCAUGUAUAUAUCUAGGUGCAUGCGUAACAAAUUGUCUAUUAAGAAUCUUACAACCUUGGAAUGGAGUGAGAGUUACUUUACUUUAAUCUGCAUCUUUUUUUUACAAAGACACUAAAAAAACUAUCUUGUAUUUAAUUACCUAAGGAAAACAAAGGAUUAGUAUAAAAGAUUGACAAGAUACAGAAUGACCUAUAAAAGAAUAAGAUUAUAUCAAAAAACCAAACUGGUCGUCUUCUUCCUUGGAUCGUUCACUGUAUGUUAGAGCUUGAAGACUAGUCAACUAUUGAUCAAAACCAUGACUAGUUACUUAUUAGGCCCCGUUUGGUUUGCCCUGUUAAAGUUUAUCACCCGUCACAUCGAAUGUUUGGACACAUGUAUGGAGUACUAAAAUAGACUAUUUAUGAAACUAAAAACACAGUUAGAGAGUAAUUUGAGAGACAAAUCUUUUAAGUCUAAUUAGUCUAUGAUUGAAUAUUAAUUGUCAAAUAAGACGAAACUGCUACAGUGCCUAUUAAACUUUAACACUCCAAACCAAACAACCUCUUAUAUUGGUCCCCUUUUAUAUCAGGAGAGAAAAAAAUGAGACAGAGAAAUGGAAUUUCACUGGUCCUCUCUCGUAUAUGUAGCCUCGUUCAUAUGGAUGAAAGCUAAGCUAGCACAUCUGAACUUUCAUAUUGGAAUAUAUUUUGGGAUGUAGAGAUCAAUUCCAACUUGGUGCCCCGGCCCAAACAAAAAGAUGGUGGUCACUAAAUGAUUACAAUCCCGGAGUAGAUUCUCCAUUUAUUUGUGUGUCCCUUUUUGCUGCUUGCAAACGUGAUGACAGCUACAAGAAAAUUAAACUUAUACUAUUAAUUAUUGGAUAAUCACACACUGAAUAUAUAUGUGGGCAAGUAGUGUGAAUGAUUUAUAUGUCAGUGCCACAUACAGGACCACGUACGGGUCGGGAUUGGAAUAAUGCAAAUGCAAUGUAUGCAUCAAAUAUAGUAAUGGAUAUUGUUAUCUUGGGAAUAAUAUUGUUUGUAGCUUAGGACCGGCCGAGAUGGAUCGCUAGCUCUAAGAGACUAAUUAAGACACACAGCAGGGCAAAGCCAAAGGGAACUGAAACAGCUUGCAGUAACCUUAAACAAGAGCUAGUAGCUAGCUGCAUGCGAAAGGUACAGAUUCGAAGACAAUUAACCUAAGCCAAAGGCACACACCCGGUUUGAGUUUUGACCUGUUGCCUUUCCACAGCAAACUAGCUGCGGCCGGCAAAGUAGCUUUUUUUGCAAAUGCGCGUUUGCGUAGCUGCUCUUUCCUCAAAAAGUGAAAUUUUUUUCAGUUUAUCUCGUGAUAAUUGAAAAUUGCAUAUGCAGAGGAUCGGAUCGAUGCACCCAAAAAUGAACAAGGAUAUAUAUAUAUACCGUACGUGUAUUACGCAUGCAUGCGCGCAUGACAACAAACUAGCUAGCUAUAUAAACAAGAAAGCUAGCGCAUGCACGAGAUAUUUUGCUGGAUAUUUUUUCAGAACACACACGGCUUUAUUUGGCAUAUAUAGAACGACGAUGAUAUAGAAAAAUAAAGCAGAGCUAAUUAUAGUUGUUCUUGUACGUGAGAGAGAGAGAGAGAGAGAGAACGAUUGGCGGCGAAUUAUGUUCCAAGGAGGACCAAAAGCAAGAUGUGUGCAGCAGAAGCAGCUUCGUUCUCGAUCGAUCGCUUGCAUAUGAUAUGAUGCAUUCUGCAUGCUUUCCCAGUUUCCGUCCCUCUCUCUUUUCCGAUGUCCGUCGUCCCUCUCUCUCUCUAUAGCGGCUAGAGCUAGCUAGGGUCUCUGGAGCAGCACAAAAGCAGAGGCCUGGAAACCACGCGCGCGCCCCGGCGAGCGGCUCUAGCUAGCUUUUUGCGUUGCGCGCUCCGGCCGGGGGCCGGCCCGGUUAAGUUUCCCCCCUCCAUCAAUCGUAUCAUCGAUCUCCCUAGCUGCUGCACUGCUGCAGAAGAUGCUAUGUACUCAAUCCAUCCCAAAUUAUAAGUCGUUUGACUUUUUUAAUAUCAAGUUUGACCACUGGUCUUAUUCAAAUUUUUAUAUAAAAUAUUACUUUUUUUUGUUGUGUAUUGGUUUAUUAAUAAAAGUUCUUCAAGAAUGACUUAAAUUUGACUAUAUUUGCACAAAUUUUUUUGAAUAAGACGAGUGGUCAAACUUGAGGUAAAAAAAGUCAAACGACUUACAAUUUGGUAUGGAGGGAGUACGUACGUAGAACACGCGCUUUAGCAUCAUUUCACACAUCGCGCGAUCUUGGCCGUCCACUCCCCCGCGAUCCACGACCCCCCGUACCGUACUCCCUCCAUCAUCACCUUAUUAAUUUAGUUGAUUAUUAUUUAUUAGAAGAACCCUAGCUAGCCAGCUUGCAUCCACCAAGGCACCAACAAGCUAGCAGCCAUGGUCGUCCCCUCCUAUAAAUCCAGGUGCCCCCCGGCCCUCUCCCCUCACCACCAUUAAGCAGGCCACCACAGUCGUCCUUGAUCCAUCGUCCAAGCAAUCUUCUGCAAGGUAACUAAACGAUCGAAGGAGAAGAAGAAGACCAGAGCUUCUUCGUUCCGGCCAGCCACACGCAGCUAGCCGGCGGCGCCAUGGGAGGCAAGUCGUCGUUCUUCUGCCCCAUCUUCAGCUUCCUGCGCAAGUCGAGGCGGUACGACGACGACAUGAGCGACUGGGACGGCCGCACCGGCUACGUGCGCAAGGUGCGCUCCAGCGACGAGGACUACGGCGGAUGGUGGGUCGGCGAGCGCGACGUCGACCGAAAGGCCUCCGACUUCAUCAACAACUUCCACCAGAAGAAGGUCACCGUCUAGCUGCCACUUCUUCCGCUUCCAUCCCCCGCAUAUAUAUGGUCGUCGUCGUCGCCGCCGACACCGACGACGAACUGCGACGACCACAUCGACGAUGACGACGCCACCACCGGCCGGCCGGUCCACUCCUCAUGCAUGCAGCUACGUACGUUUCAUUUGUUAGGUUCCUUGAUAUUCUUAUAUGUUAAUGUAUGUUGAUUAUAUUAGUUCAUCUCGUUUGUGAUGUUAUUAUAUAUAUAUGUUGUGCUCAUUUAAUCAGAGAGAGAGAGAGAGAGAGAGAGAGAGAGGAUGAAUAAUUCGAUCUGCUGGACAGAGACCAAGAUCGAUGUCGUUUAAUUUGUUUGUAAGCGUUGUAUGUGUAUAUAUGUAUGUGUGUGUGAAGGCAUGCAUACGUGUACGCACGAUGCGAUGUAUGUGUUGUCCAUCACACAUCAUUCACAUGUACAUCAGUUAACGUUAAUUAUCACCAAAUAAAUAAUGUAUAUGUAUGAUCGAUCUUGUUAUAUAUCAUAGCAGACAUGCACCUAUAUAUACGUAAGGCUAUAUACCUACAACAAUUUCUUCGUUUUGGACUUGCAUAUAUAAAAGCAGCACUCCUCCAGUCCUCCUUGAUUAGCAUAUGUGCUCCGUG
rnacentral:lncRNA from 1 species